rnacentral:rRNA from 1 species
UACGAAGGGGGCUAGCGUUGCUCGGAAUUACUGGGCGUAAAGGGCGCGUAGGCGGAUAUCUAAGUCGGGGGUGAAAGCCCGGGGCUCAACCUCGGAAUUGCCUUCGAUACUGGAUAUCUUGAGUUCGGGAGAGGUGAGUGGAAUGCCGAGUGUAGAGGUGAAAUUCGUAGAUAUUCGGCGGAACACCAGUGGCGAAGGCGACUCACUGGCCCGAUACUGACGCUGAGGCGCGAAAGCGCGGGGAGCAAACAGG